UACCUUCUAAACAGAAUAUCUAAGACUUGGUCAGCUGUGGUAAAAGCCCGGUAAGUAGCCAGGAACACAUUGAGGUGCAUGGAGUUGGUGUCCUGGUCCUCCACAUCCUCAGGUGCCAGGUUCUCCACCAGUCUCUCCACAGUUCCCGCCUUCAGCGUGCGAAGCUUCAUCGUUUCCCACUGUAGAGAAGUGGUUGUGGUCUGAUGUCGAACCUUCUUCAGACUGACUGUGUAGAUGACUCCAUCCUCCUUCUCCUCUCCCCACUCUCGACUGUUCUCACCCUG